CAGGUGGUCAGGUAGAGAAUACCAAGGCGCUUGAGAGAACUCGGGUGAAGGAACUAGGCAAAAUGGUGCCGUAACUUCGGGAGAAGGCACGCUGAUAUGUAGGUGAAGCCCCUGCGGGUGGAGCUGAAAUCAGUCGAAGAUACCAGCUGGCUGCAACUGUUUAUUAAAAACACAGCACUGUGCAAACACGAAAGUGGACGUAUACGGUGUGACGCCUGCCCGGUGCCGGAAGGUUAAUUGAUGGGGUUAGCGGUAACGCGAAGCUCUUGAUCGAAGCCCCGGUAAACGGCGGCCGUAACUAUAACGGUCCUAAGGUAGCGAAAUUCCUUGUCGGGUAAGUUCCGACCUGCACGAAUGGCGUAAUGAUGGCCAGGCUGUCUCCACCCGAGACUCAGUGAAAUUGAACUCGCUGUGAAGAUGCAGUGUACCCGCGGCAAGACGGAAAGACCCCGUGAACCUUUACUAUAGCUUGACACUGAACACUGGUCCUUGAUGUGUAGGAUAGGUGGGAGGCUUUGAAGCGUGGACGCCAGUCUGCGUGGAGCCAACCUUGAAAUACCACCCUUUAAUGGCUGGUGUUCUAACGUAGACCCGUGAUCCGGGUUGCGGACAGUGUCUGGUGGGUAGUUUGACUGGGGCGGUCUCCUCCCAAAGAGUAACGGAGGAGCACGAAGGUUAGCUAAUCCUGGUCGGACAUCAGGAGGUUAGUGCAAUGGCAUAAGCUAGCUUGACUGCGAGAGUGACGGCUCGAGCAGGUGCGAAAGCAGGUCAUAGUGAUCCGGUGGUUCUGAAUGGAAGGGCCAUCGCUCAACGGAUAAAAGGUACUCCGGGGAUAACAGGCUGAUACCGCCCAAGAGUUCAUAUCGACGGCGGUGUUUGGCACCUCGAUGUCGGCUCAUCACAUCCUGGGGCUGAAGUAGGUCCCAAGGGUAUGGCUGUUCGCCAUUUAAAGUGGUACGCGAGCUGGGUUUAGAACGUCGUGAGACAGUUCGGUCCCUAUCUGCCGUGGGCGCUGGAGAAUUGAGGGGGGCUGCUCCUAGUACGAGAGGACCGGAGUGGACGCAUCACUGGUGUUCGGGUUGUCAUGCCAAUGGCACUGCCCGGUAGCUAAAUGCGGAAGAGAUAAGUGCUGAAAGCAUCUAAGCACGAAACUUGCCCCGAGAUGAGUUCUCCCUGAGACUUUAAGUCUCCUGAAGGAACGUUGAAGACUACGACGUUGAUAGGUCGGGUGUGUAAGCGCAGCGAUGCGUUGAGCUAACCGAUACUAAUGAACCGUGAG
rnacentral:rRNA from 1 species